UCUGCUCCCCAAUCAAUACCAGCCAUACAUCUUAUAAUGUUCAAUAUUUGUUUGCAUUUAUCUGUGAUUUUUCUAUAUGUACUUUCCAUAUUAUUUUUUCAUCAAACCAUAUACCUAAAAACCUUAUACUUUUUACAUGUUCUUAAACUUGAUUGUAUCAUUUUUGUUUUAUAUUUUCUUUUUCUUUUCUGUGUAAACACCAUUACUUUUGUUUUUUCCACUGAUAAUUUAAAUCCCCAUUGAUAUGCCCAUUGUUCUAUUCUAAUAAUCUAUUCCUGUAUUUUCUUUUCAAUAAAUUUGAUAAUUCAACCCCUUUUCCAUAUAGCUCCACUGUUUGCAAAUAGUGAGCAACCAACUUCUUUACUAAUAUUUUUAAAUAAUGCACAGAACAGCAUCUAACUCUCCAACAACUUCAUUCAACACUCCAAAAUGAUGAAGCAAUAUUGAGUGAGGGUGUUUCCUCACUGAUGGUAUUGGAUAAAGCACUGUGAUUUCUUCGUGACACAAAGGAAUAUUUGAUAAAAUUCUUCAUCACUUGCGUCAGACUCUGAUCUCCUUGACCUGUCUGCCUCCAGGUUAUCAAUUCCUCGGCCAAGUUGAUUUUGAACUCCAGGUACUGAGAGGUCUUCUUUACACGUAUUGGUGUUGCAAGUUGUUGCAAGAACCGUCUGUCUUCUCUGUAAUGAAGCCAUGGGUUGAUGAUGGCCAAAUCAAUGAAGUAAAGAAUGGUACAAACGGUCCACUUCUUGGUGCGGCUGGACAUUCUGUAGAAGCUGAGCAUGCGACCACACAUGUCCACCCCUCCCAUGUUGCUGUUGUAUUCUACAACCACCGCAGAUCUUGUCACUUGAACUUGUUCCUUUUUUUUUGGACCAUCUGGAGCAUAAUCCCAUGGGCGCAGAGCGGUAGUGCGCAGGUUGGCGGAUGGCAAAAAUCUGCAGGUGGGAGUGCGGUUCAUCAUGGAUUAAUAUCUUUCUUAUUUAAUCAAAUUCUAUUAAAUAAUUUUGUUCUUUUUAGGAAUCUUAAAAUAAUUUGUAUAUGUUUGUUCCUUUUGUGAUUAAUCGAUUAUGCUAAACAUUUCUUUAAUCAUUUCAAAUUCUCUCUUAAUAACUCUUCUUUCCAGCUCAUAUUUCUGACCCUAUACAAAUAUGUUCAAUUGUUUCAUCUUCUUCUUGGAAUUUUUUUUUUGGCGGAUGACAUGGGACUGUGCUGGAGAAUGGGCCAGAGCUCCUGUUUUACCUAUUUAAGUUAUAUUCUUCUCAAUAAAAGGUCUUCACCACACACUCAGAAGAAUCAGAACCAACUUUAUUAACCAGGUUUCAGGGGAAAAACAUGAAUUUAACUUGGGUUUCCAUCACUUGCAUCAUAAAUCAAACAUCAGUCUCUCACAACAAACACAGUAAGUAAAAAAAACAAAAAAAAAAACACCGUAGAGGGAUGAAGUAAGGACCAUUUACUAGAAAACUAGGUUUUAAAAUGAAAUAUUUCAACAACUUUCUCAAACAGGAUGACUAAGUUAAUGUUCAGA